rnacentral:lncRNA from 1 species
UUUCACUCUCAUUUUCCUCUUUUUCAAUUUUUUUUUCUUUUUCAUUCUCAAACUCUUUUUCAAGGUUCUUUUCUCGCUCGCAUUAUUUUUCUUUCUCUUUUCUUUCAAUUUCUUUUUCUCUCAUUCUUUCGUUACAAGAUAGGGUUGACAUGAAACAAUCAGAAUGAGAAGCUUUUUGUUGGGUAAGAGUGGAAGGAUUUACAUAUGAGACACGAUCAACUCUUCGUGACUGAACCUCCGUGGAUGAGUACUUUGGUGCAG